rnacentral:rRNA from 1 species
UACAGAGGGUGCGAGCGUUGUUCGGAAUUACUGGGCGUAAAGGGCUCGUAGGUGGCCAACUAAGUCAGACGUGAAAUCCCUCGGCUUAACCGGGGAACUGCGUCUGAUACUGGAUGGCUGGAGUUUGGGAGAGGGAUGCGGAAUUCCCAGUGUAGAGGUGAAAUUCGUAGAUAUUGGGAAGAACACCGGUGGCGAAGGCGGCUCUCUGGCCCGCAACUGACGCUGAGGCGCGAAAGCGUGGGGAGCAAACAGG